rnacentral:rRNA from 1 species
AUUGAACGCUGGCGGCAGGCCUAACACAUGCAAGUCGAGCGGAUGAAGGGAGCUUGCUCCUGGAUUCAGCGGCGGACGGGUGAGUAAUGCCUAGGAAUCUGCCUGGUAGUGGGGGAUAACGUCCGGAAACGGGCGCUAAUACCGCAUACGUCCUGAUGGAGAAAGUGGGGGAUCUUCGGACAUCACGCUAUCAGAUGAGCCUAGGUCGGAUUAGCUAGUUGGUGGGGUAAAGGCCUACCAAGGCGACGAUCCGUAACUGGUCUGAGAGGAUGAUCAGUCACACUGGAACUGAGACACGGUCCAGACUCCUACGGGAGGCAGCAGUGGGGAAUAUUGGACAAUGGGCGAAAGCCUGAUCCAGCCAUGCCGCGUGUGUGAAGAAGGUCUUCGGAUUGUAAAGCACUUUAAGUUGGGAGGAAGAGCAGUAAGUUAAUACCUGGCUGUUUUGACGUUACCAACAGAAUAAGCACCGGCUAACUUCGUG